UUAGCCAUUGACAUUACAUUAAUCACAGAAGAUCACAGUUCCAGCUAAAAAUCUUUACUGUUCUACUGAAGAAAUAAAAAAAAAGUGUGUCCUGAAGACCUCAUCAAGGAGUACUUUCUGAGUUGAAUGAUAACCCGACAGAUGAUUGAGGAGCAGCUCACCAUGGCGAUGUUCAUUAUUUGGAAGGAGGGGGAGAACUUCAUGAACCAUCUGCUGACAUUGAGGGAGUUAAAGUUUUGAAUCAACUUACUUCAGUUACAUCAGCUUGUGCCCUGCUUCUAGGCCUACAGUUGGAAGCAGCUGUUCUCCUCUUACCUGCACUGUUCAAGGUGGACCUGGGGUUGCUGUUUGACAUUGA